UUCUUAUAUUUCAGGUGCCGGGCAACCGGCUAUAGCGCUAAAUGGCCUUGCGAAAUAAGCGGAGCGGACCCGGGGGCAGUACCCGGCGCCUCCACCAGUUUUGGGGCGGUUCGCAUGACGGACCGUCCUUUAUGGGGGCGAAUCAGGAUCGACGCACGUGGUAAAGGUUUGGCUUGCGCUCGGUAUGGCACCGCCGUUAUCGGGCCAUGGCUAUACAUGCCAAUGAUAACUUUGCGGGCGAAGCCCGCCUCGCUGCUUAGUUAGCACUUAGCUAACAAGCAAGCGCGGUUCGGGGGGCACCGGGCAACAGAAGCCCCCCAC
rnacentral:tmRNA from 1 species